GAUGAAGAACGGAGCGAAAUGCGAUAAGUAAUGUGAAUUGCAGAAUUCCGUGAAUCAUCGAAUCUUUGAACGCACAUUGCGCCCGCCAGUAUUCUGGCGGGCAUGCCUGUUCGAGCGUCAUUACAACCCUCAGGCCCCCGGGCCUGGCGUUGGGGAUCGGCGGAGCCCCCCGUGGGCACACGCCGUCCCCCAAAUGCAGUGGCGGUCCCGCCGCAGCUUCCAUCGCGUAGUAGCUAACACCUCGCGACUGGAGAGCGGCGCGGCCACGCCGUAAAACACCCAACUCUUCUGAAGUUGACCUCGAAUCAGGUAGGAAUACCCGCUGAACUUAAGCAUAUCAAUAAGCGGAGGA
rnacentral:misc_RNA from 1 species